UACGAAGGGGCUAGCGUUGUUCGGAAUCACUGGGCGUAAAGCGCACGUAGGCGGAUGUGCCAGUCAGGGGUGAAAUCCCGGAGCUCAACUUCGGAACUGCCUCUGAUACAGCACGUCUUGAGUCCGGAAGAGGUGGGUGGAAUUCCUAGUGUAGAGGUGAAAUUCGUAGAUAUUAGGAAGAACACCGGUGGCGAAGGCGGCCCACCUGGUCC
rnacentral:rRNA from 1 species